CGUGACGCACAAACCACGCGACGGUUCAGCUGAGGUCGGAGCGUUUUUGGAAGACAGAUAAAGAUGGCCCUGAGGGUGAUCCGUGUGGUUAUUCCCUCUGGGACAGCUGCUCUCAGCUCUGUCAACAUCGUGCAAAAGGCACGUGUCCACACCAGUCCAAUCAGGAGCCUGCGUUAUGGCUGGUGGGCUUAUGCUCUAGGUGAGAGGACCACACCCAGACUGACCCGCCUCAGUAAAAUCUUCUCUGUAGAAGGAAACCUGGCAUCUGGGAAAGGCGCCCUGGCACAGAAACUGGCCGACAAACUGGGGAUGCUGUACAUGCCUGAGGCUGACACGUUUUACAUGGACAAGAUGACCGGGGAGAAGCAGGCUCUUCCUGUGGACUUUAACGGCAUGUGCAGCCUGGAGAAGUUCUACACUGACCCUAAAGCUGCCGACGGAAACAGCUACAGGCUCCAGCACUGGAUGUACAUCAUGAGGCUGCUGCAGUACGCAGACGCCAUCGAACACAUGCUCACAACAGGUCAGGGAGUGAUCCUGGAGCGCUCCCCGUUUAGUGAUGUGGUUUUCCUGGAGGCCAUGUCCAAACAGGGCUACAUCAGAAAAGCCUGUGUGGACCACUAUAACGAGAUCAAACACAUCAGUAUUUGUGAGUUUCUGCCUCCUCACCUGGUGAUCUACAUCGACCAACCAGCCGAAGAGGUGCAGAAGAAACUGAAACAGAGCAGCAAGCCCUAUCUUCAUAACGUCCCUCUGGAGUAUCUGAAGAGCAUUGAGGACAGCUACAAGAAGACGUACCUGCCUUCAGUCAGUGACUCCUCUGAGCUUCUCGCUUAUGACAUCACUCAAGCCCAAGACAUUGAAAAGGUGGCAGAGGACAUCGAGUACUUGUCCUUUGAGAAGGGGCCGUGGCUGGAGCAGGACGACGUCACCUACCAUCACAUGAGGAUGCUGGUUGAAGACAAAAACAGAGUGGCCGCACUGACCCAUAUACCCAAGUUUCUUCCAGAAAUCACCAUCGGAGCCCACGACUUUGAUGAGAAAUACUACGCCUACAGAUCGGUAUGAUGUUUAAAUCAGUUUGAAGCUGUGCAGACGAUGGGCUUUAACACUGGGUACGACCUCAGAGCAGCUUGAUCACAGACGACAGUUUAACGAUUCCACAACUGGCACCAGAGGGCCCCAUGUCACAGACUCUACAGGGACAUUCUGUACUGAACAGGAGACACGGCACGGAGGAGACUGAUGGACAAUGGUCUACAGUCCAACAGCCAAUCAGGACGCACAACGCAAUGCAUGUUCAUACACUGUAAAAAAAAAACAACAACAAACAAAAUCACGUAAAACUGCACAAAAAAAAAUCUGCAAAACAGCGAGACCACGAAAGGUGAACUGCGAUAUAGCGAGAGACCACUGUAUAUGUAAAUGGACAUAGCUAACCUGCUAGCCACUGUGUUCCAAAGAGGAAAUGAUCAUGGGCGCAGCUUGACUCCAUUGACUCUGUAUAACUCUAUAAUAACAGAUGAAUGUGUGUAUAAAGAAGUGACUGAAGUGGAUGGAGAAUGUUAGCGUGUUAUCUGUGUCUUUUUAUAUACAGUCUAUGGUCGGGGUUCAUGGGGGCAGAGGUCUUCAGAUCCUUCUCACUUCUGUACUAUUUGCCGCUUUGAACCUUUAAAAACACGGAGUCGGCGUCGCUGAACUAACUCCCUUUCCUCCGAUGCAAAAAGUCAAAUGCCAGACGUCGUAGGAGCCGAGUGCAUCAGUCUCACACAGAAACACUGUCGGAGAGUUUGACCUUUUCUCUUUAUUGACUGGAGAGUUUUUCAUGCAAAAGAAGAAGAAGAGAGAGGCGGAGGAGGGAGGGAGCGCACCACACGAGCCUCGGACUUGACAUUUUGUUGUUUAAUCUUGGUCCCGGUGGAGGGGCCGCGGGUGGAGUCAAAGGCAUAUGUAAUCUCUAUUAGAAACAGAAGUCACACAAGGGCAGUGUUUGUUUUACUGAUCCCACUUUAAUUUAGCCUCUAACAUGAAACUCUUCUGUUUAUCUCAGAGUCUGACCUUAACCAAAGCCUCUGCUCUUCCUGUAGCUGCCUGGAAAGAAGUACACCCCCGGUUAUAACGCCGACAUCGGGGACAAGAACGUGCUCUUCAAGUGAAACACAGUCCACACUUUGGUCUCGACGAUAUAAUGGAUCUGUCCAAAACACGCUGUAAAUCUUAAAUGUAAAUUAAAAUGUUAAGUUUUGAAUCU